UACGUAGGGUGCGCGCGUUAAUCGGAAUUACUGGGCGUAAAGAGCUCGUAGGUGGUUUGUCGCGUUGUUCGUGAAAACCUGAGGCUUAACCUUGGGCGUGCGGGCGAUACGGGCAGACUGGAGUACUGCAGGGGAGACUGGAAUUCCUGGUGUAGCGGUGGAAUGCGCAGAUAUCAGGAGGAACACCGGUGGCGAAGGCGGGUCUCUGGGCAGUAACUGACGCUGAGGCGCGAAAGCGUGGGGAGCAAACAGG
rnacentral:rRNA from 1 species